AUUGAACGCUGGCGGCAUGCCUUACACAUGCAAGUCGAACGGUAACAGGUCUUCGGAUGCUGACGAGUGGCGAACGGGUGAGUAAUACAUCGGAACGUGCCCGAUCGUGGGGGAUAACGGAGCGAAAGCUUUGCUAAUACCGCAUACGAUCUACGGAUGAAAGCAGGGGACCGCAAGGCCUUGCGCGGACGGAGCGGCCGAUGGCAGAUUAGGUGGUUGGGGGGAUAAAAGCUUACCAAGCAAACGAUCUGUAGCUGGUCUGAGGGGACGACCACCCACAUUGAGCCUAGACCAGGGCCAGACUCCCAAGGGGGGCAGGAGUGGGGAAUUUUGGGCAAUGGGGGGAAGCCUUACUCCGCCCAGCCCCGGGGGGGAUUGAGGGCCUCCGGUUUUAAAACUCUUUUUUUAGGGAAGAAAAAAACUCUUUCUAACAAAGAGGAUCCUGACGGGAACCGAAAAAAAAGGCACCGGUAAACUCGGG
rnacentral:rRNA from 1 species